rnacentral:rRNA from 1 species
AUUGUGUGGUGCGAGAUCCUUGACUUUUACUUUGAGGAAAUAAGAGUGUUCCAAGCAGGCUCUCGUCCCGCAUAGCUCAGCAUGGAAUAAUAGCAUUGGACUUCGUUUUUACGCUGUUGGUUGCAAGAAGCGAGGUAAUGAUGAAGAGGGAUAGUUGGGGGCAUUCGUAUUUAACUGUCAGAGGUGAAAUUCUUGGAUUUGUUAAAGACGGACU